rnacentral:rRNA from 1 species
UACGUAGGGUGCAAGCGUUGUCCGGAAUUAUUGGGCGUAAAGAGCUCGUAGGCGGCUUGUCGCGUCGGCUGUGAAAACCUGGGGCUCAACCCCGGGCCUGCAGCCGAUACGGGCAGCUAGAAUUCGGUAGGGGAGACUGGAAUUCCUGGUGUAGCGGUGAAAUGCGCAGAUAUCAGGAGGAACACCGGUGGCGAAGGCGGGUCUCUGGGCCGAUAUUGACGCUGAGGAGCGAAAGCGUGGGGAGCGAACAGG